GAGGAGAGGCACAAUCUUUUGUCAGUGCACAUGACUUGUACGGAAAAAAAAGCUUUUUCUUAAAAUAACCACAUACCCUGUGACUCUCUGUGUUAUUUUCCUGGUGGUCAUGGGGUCUGUCCCCUCACCACUACAGCCUGGGUUCACACCCUGGAAAAGAUUUCUUAUUUCGGUGAAGCUUCUCUUGUACAUACAUUCGAGUUUCAGUAAUGUUACAGCUGCAAUCAAUGAUUCUUUCACUGGUAAAUAGAAAUUUCAUCAUGUUAUUGCACAUUUAUGUGAGCCUACCCUAGUUUUAAAGUGUCUGCCCUGAGCGCUGUUAGUGCCAUAGCCACUCUGUAGCUCUGAAUCCCAUACCCCUCCAAAAGCCUCUUUUGGGGUGAAGGUAAGUGCUCGGGGUGGAGGAGACUGUGCUGCUAACAGACACCGUGGAGCUGGUUAAGCACACAAAUGCAUUCAAACCAGCUCGGUUCCUGUGGUUCAGAACUACCUUAAUAUUUAGUUGGUGUUCCUGGGAGGCUCUGGGAUCAAAAUACUCACUGUGUUUACAAUGACACAUUUACCCUUGGCUCACACUGGCGUGAAACCAGGUCCCACGUGGUAUUUCUCUUCAAUGAGGGGCACUGGUGACCUGCUGGGACCAGGGACUUUAUCACCUUGCCACGUCUCUGUCUUUGUAUAUAUUUCUGGUCACAGUGGCACCUCGGUCUCUGCCUCCAGCACUCCUCAGCAUUGUCCCCUCAAGGAUGAAAAUGCCUUGGUCUUGCCAAAGAAGCUGCUAUCAACAUACACACGUGAACUGCAGCUCUUGCAGUGUGUAAGGGUUCCACACUACCUUGUGUUGCCCAGCAUUGCACUGCCAGCAUGAAUGCAGAAAAACAUCCCUUUAAAAGAAAUCGUGUUGAGAUCACCUUGUAAUCAGCGCCACCGCUGCAGCCAGAGCACUAGGAGAAGUUCAGAAGUUUGCGCUGAAUGAGCUCAUUGCAGGCGUCGACUGGUCUUACUUCUACAAGAUCAGCAACCUCGCGUUAUCAUCAAAUGGUUUUGAUAAGCUGUUAUAUCUUCAGUAGGCAACAAGGCAGCUGAAUCUUUGGAAAAAAAAUAGAUUGCAUUUGAAAAUACUGUUAAGAUUCAAAUCCCAUCUCUUCACAGGUGAUGCAAGAUACAAAAGGAGAAAUUGGUCACCUGGCAUAUGCAAUUAGUGCUGCUUAAGCAGCCAGGGGCUUCUCAGGCAUCUGCCUGGGGCUGCCGGAGGUGAUGGGACAUGAGGGAGACCCGUGGCUUCCAGUGUGCAGAAUGAAAGCCCUUUUCUUGAAGUUGGACAAAGUACCUGUAACUAUUACAGUAGGUUACCUGUAACUUACAUCCUCAUUUGUGUAAUCUCAGGCUAUCUGUGCCUACAGAAGUGGAUGACUGAGGACACUGGUGACUACAGAGCUGGUUGGUAACCAUGCGCUUGAAACUUCCAUAGUAAUUUCUGAUGUAGUAUCUCCUGAUGAAAAGAUGCUUGUGACCUUUUGCUGUUAUUAGGAAGAAAUUUCUCAUUUACAGUAGCUUUAAGAAUUUGCCAAUACCAACAUCCUGAGCUUUGGUCAAUGCCCUUUACUGACCUCAUGACAGCCUGACCGAGGGAGGGCCCAUCUUUCAGAGCAGCUGCAAACAAGCAUUUUGAAGGAUGCCACCAAGGAGGCAGCAGCACGACCCCUGGCUGCUGCUCGGGCAGAUGUAGUCACAGCCAGGAUAUGGUUAUUCUGCUCUGAAGACACAUGCUCGGCCCUCGGCCACAGCAGCCAGUUUUUCUUCUGUGGCAACACGUAAUGCAGGUUUUCCUCCACUUGCAAUUAGAGCAGAGGGAUGGCAGGCAGCAUCUCCUCUCCAGGGUAAUAAUUUUCUCCUGAUGCCAUGUGACAUAGUGAGCCCCAGCGCUACGGCACCCAAAGUGCCUUUUAUUUGUGGUGCUGAGGGCUAAGGUUUCCAGGCUCCUAAUGCUGAGUGACAGAAUUGUUUUUUAGCCUUUUCCUCUUAAGAAAAACAUCCCAGGAAAUUGCAUAACCUCCUUUGAUCCUCUUGAUAACUGAAAUUUAAGGUUGCAAACCCACACAUGGAAAAUUUAGUCAAAGCCAGAUAUACUGUGGAGUAAGCAGUCUCAUUGGCUUUCUUGUGCCAUGUGCUGUGACCUAGCCUUAUAUUAUAUAAAUUACAGGUUCUCUUCCUCCUUCUCCAGGUCCAUUCUUCAGCUGAACACAGAACAAAGAUAGAAAAGGGCUGAAGUAAGCAUGUGUGCACAACCUCAUGUUGUACCUUUUGGAGCUCACUUACAUUUAUGCCAAGUGACCAGCUUUCCCUUGCUCUGUUUUAACACUCACAUGGAGUCUUUCAGCUCUGACCUGUUAGAACAGCUACAGCCCCAAUCAUCCGAAGCUAUUACCCUCUGGUGCCUUUCCAAGAGCACGUGUAUAAUAUGCUUCUUCUCCACUGAUUUCUCACUUGGGAAAUCUUCAUCCACCGUUACAGGAGUGACAUCCCCAACAGGGGCUCAGGACUAAAUGGGCGUGAAGGCUGAGCUCCUGCGUUGCCUAGUGCUGGCCCUUUUGAAUGAAUCAGAUUUAAAAAAAAAAAAAAAAAAGCGACAUCAGCAACUCAGUGUACAAGAACUUGGCCUGGAUAAAUGGAGUGAGAACAGGAUAACCCCAGAUAAAAAGGCUGCACAAACCCACCUGUGAUGCCUCAUAUCAAAAUGCUAAAAACAAAACAAAACAAAACACUUUCAUCUGAUCAGUCUCAGAAAUACUUUCCAAACUACCUUUCUUCAGAACGAGGCAAUAAGUUGCAUUUGGGGCAACAAAUUGUAGUGAUUUAGGGCACACCAAAUGGAUUGAAGCUCUUAGCUGGAACCAAGUCAGUGACUGCCCAUUUUUUCUGUAGUAUGAAGCAGGGGAGACCUCCUACCAGGCUCUUAGAGAGCAGGUUAAUAGUUAACAGCUUAAAGUCAAGUAGGGUUGCAAUCUGCUCUUUUUCAUGUAAAUAAAGCCCACUUUUUAUCUACUUGCCAGUUCAUUAAUGUGAUCUUUCUUUUUGAAGCUGCUCAUAGAGAAAAAGAAUAACUCAACUGGAUGCUGCUCAACAUGCCAGUAGAGCCACACAGCAUUUAUGUCCACAAACAAAAAAUGUAAAAUUCCCCCAGAAACAACAAAACUUCAUGUAAGUUUUCAUCAGGCGUGAUUUAUGGCACUGGGGUAGAGACCCCUUCCUCCCCAUCUUUUGUCUGUUUUCUCCACAGGGCAGGCAAAUCAAAGCUCCUCCUUGCCCAAGCACUGGAGACCAGUUUAUGCAGGCGGGGAUCAGCUACAUGUUUAAUAUUUGGGAGACAGGGAUGAUGGGGGCGAGGCUAAGGCUGCAUUUUGGCAACAGAUGCUGUCUCUGGCAGGCUGUAGGGUUGUCACUCCACUUCUGCGCCUCAGUCUUGUCUCCUGUUGUGUGGGUGUAAUACACCUUUUAGUAGUGCUUAUCCUUAUGGCCAGAGCUUUACACACCUUCUACUGAUGUUCUUUGCAGACCUAAAAUGAAAUAAAAACUCUUGUCUCAGGGAGAACUGGUAAAUUAGAAGACCUGGGCAGGGGGUAGAAACUGCCCUCUCUCAUCUAGAUGAUAAAGGAUGUCAUUGUGUUAAAAUUUUUCCCUUCUGAACACAGGCCUUUAGUGAGGAUCUGAAUGAAAGCUGGAUCUAGAAACCCCAAUGCUUUGAGGAGCUCUCCAGGAUGGACAGAUGUGUCCGUUUCAUUUAGUGCCCCACUAGUGCAGAACCAGUUUACAAGCCUAAAAAUUGAUGCUGUUUUACUGACUGUUUGUUUGUUUGUUUGUUUUUCUGCCUAUUUCAAAACAUCCCGUAAGAGAUGGGCUUUCUGAAUGAGAGAGGAGCAGGAGAGGGGGGAGCAGCUUACAGACGCAUUUCGAGCAAUAGAGUUCACGAGUAUUCCUGAAGAGCAAACAAAAUCUGCAACAAAUCAUCCAUAAAACGCAGUCAAAAAGGACUUCAUUUAAUUAGUGAUAUGUAAAGACUUUUGCAUAGAAAAAAGGUUAACAAAGUAAUGCAUAAAAGACCGACUAGGUACAGUAUUUUUAAAACAAAUAUUUUAAAGUAUAUUUUGCAUAAUGUUUAACAUUCUCAAUGCUUACUGCUUUCUCCACACAGCAGAGAAAUCAAGUGCAUAAUAAUACAUGCUGUGUUUUAUUUUUACCUUUUUUUUUUUUUCCAUAAAAUCUCUAGUUUUUGACUCGAUGUAUUAAAAUACUUAGGUUAUUUUAAGUCACUGUAAUAAAAAAUGAAAGCAAAACAUUUUAUGCAGCACUAGUUGUCUGGGUAGUGACAAAAUAAUUUACUGCCAUCCCCUUUAAUACAUUCAUUUUGGUUUGGAAUCAAACCCACAUUACAAUGUUGGCAUGUUAAUAGCCAAUUUAAGAAUUGUCCCUACCAUAACUUCAUUCAUACCCAGAGCGAUCGUUAUCCCAGAAGUUGAUAGUGAAAAGAAGAGGGAUCUUGCACAGAGUCGGCUGACAGUAAAUGUCCCAUUGCAGCUAAAUAAGUUAAUUUCAACUCUCACAGCACCGAGUCUCUCGCAUUGACACGAGCCAGCCAUAUGGAAGUGUGCACGCUGUAAGUAGGUGGUUACUCCUGGGUGCAUGACAGACGCGCUGUUUGUGCAGAUAUGAGCUAGCACCAUAUUUAAGCCAUAAAAAAGGGUGCCUCAAGGCUCACAGGCAGUGCUGAAACGUUCAUUAAUCCGAGCACUGAUAAGAUAAUCGCUCUUACCGACGCUAUGCUAGAUGUCACAAUUUGGCAAGUCUGUACAAAGGAAGGAGACUAAGCAAGCGAAAACCAGGCCUGUCAGACUGAACGUUCUUUCUUGGCAGUCUUUGGGCUAAGUGAACCUGGCUGCUAAAGGAGCACACUCCUUCCUGGAAAGAUACCAAUGUCCUGAAGCUGCACGCAGGACUCUCCCUCUCUCCCAGACCAUUCCCAUACCUGUGCAAUGUUAUUUGUUUUAGCAGAACACACAUAUAUAUAUAUAUAUAAAAUUUUCUUUUUAUUAUCAUUUAAAUGUCAGGCACUUAGGAAAGUUGAACUCAUUUUCAAGCCCCAGGAGACCUGAUAGGUAUGAUCCCUCGUCUCUCCGCCAAACACGGAGGCAUAGCCGCAGGAUUAUUCUUAGUCCUAGUGCCUACGCAUCUCCCAGGAAACAUCUGCGUGCCGAGGCGGUCCUGACAUUUCCGAAAGCCGCUGCCUUGAGGUGCCCUUGGCGAGACCCGCUGGAAGGAGCAGGGCGCCCCGCGUCCCCUCUAGCACCUGCAGCAAGGGCAGCGCUGCUGCCAUGCCCCGGGGUGAUGGCAUCCCCUCGGCCCUCAGCGAGGACAGGCCACCGCAGGAGCCUCACGAAUGUGCACGUGUGCACGCACGCGUGUGCAUGUGUGUGUGUGCGCAGGGAGAGGAGGGAGCAGGCU
rnacentral:lncRNA from 1 species